AACAGGAUUAGAUACCCUGGUAGUCCAUGCCGUAAACGUUGGGAACUAGAUGUGGGGACCAUUCCACGGUCUCCGUGUCGCAGCUAACGCAUUAAGUUCCCCGCCUGGGGAGUACGGCCGCAAGGCUAAAACUCAAAGGAAUUGACGGGGGCCCGCACAAGCGGCGGAGCAUGCGGAUUAAUUCGAUGCAACGCGAAGAACCUUACCAAGGCUUGACAUAUACCGGAAACGGCCAGAGAUGGUCGCCCCGCAAGGUCGGUAUACAGGUGGUGCAUGGUUGUCGUCAGCUCGUGUCGUGAGAUGUUGGGUUAAGUCCCGCAACGAGCGCAACCCUCGUUCUAUGUUGCCAGCACGUUAUGGUGGGAACUCAUAGGAGACUGCCGGGGUCAACUCGGAGGAAGGUGGGGAUGACGUCAAAUCAUCAUGCCCCUUAUGUCUUGGGCUUCACGCAUGCUACAAUGGCCGGUACAAAGGGCUGCGAUACCGUAAGGUGGAGCGAAUCCCAAAAAGCCGGUCUCAGUUCGGAUUGAGGUCUGCAACUCGACCUCAUGAAGUCGGAGUCGCUAGUAAUCGCAGAUCAGCAACGCUGCGGUGAAUACGUUCCCGGGCCUUGUACACACCGCCCGUCAAGUCAUGAAAGUCGGUAACACCCGAAGCCAGUGGCCUAACCCCUUGUGGGAUGGAGCUGUCGAAGGUGGGAUCGGUGAUUAGGACUAAGUCGUAACAAGGUAACC
rnacentral:rRNA from 1 species